AGGACGAACGCUGGCGGCGUGCUUAACACAUGCAAGUCGAGCGGAAAGGCCCUUCGGGGUACUCGAGCGGCGAACGGGUGAGUAACACGUGAGUAAUCUGCCCCUAGCUCUGGGAUAGCUCCGGGAAACCGGGAUUAAUACCAGAUACGACCACUUUAGACAUCUUCUGUGGUGGAAAGAACUUCGGCUAGGGAUGAACUCGCGGCCUAUCAGCUUGUUGGUGAGGUAACGGCUCACCAAGGCGACGACGGGUAGCCGGCCUGAGAGGGCGACCGGCCACACUGGGACUGAGACACGGCCCCAGACUCCUACGGGAGGCAGCAGUGGGGAAUAUUGCGCAAUGGGCGAAAGCCUGACGCAGCGACGCCGCGUGGGGGAUGAAGGCCUUCGGGUUGUAAACCCCUUUCAGCAGGGACGAAGCGAAAGUGACGGUACCUGCAGAAGAGCGCCGGCUAACUACGCGCCAGCAGCCGC
rnacentral:rRNA from 1 species